CGGUUCCUUAAGUCUGAUGUGAAAGCCCCCGGCUCAACCUGGAAUAACUUCGGGAAACCGGAGCUAAUGCCGGAUAACAUAUAGAACCGCAGGGUUCUAUAGUGAAAGAUGGUUUUGCUAUCACUUAUAGAUGGACCCGCGCCGUAUUAGCUAGUUGGUAAGGUAAUGGCUUACCAAGGCGACGAUACGUAGCCGACCUGACAGGGUGAUCGGCCACACUGGAACUGAGACACGGUCCAGACUCCUACGGGAGGCAGCAGUAGGGAAUCUUCCGCAAUGGGCGAAAGCCUGACGGAGCAACGCCGCGUGAGUGAUGAAGGUUUUCGGAUCGUAAAACUCUGUUAUUAGGGAAGAACAAAUGCGUAAGUAACUGUGCGCAUCUUGACGGUACCUAAUCAAAAAGCCACGGCUAACUACGUGCCAGCAGCCGCGGUAAUACGUAGGUGGCAAGCGUUAUCCGGAAUUAUUGGGCGUAAAGCGCGCGUAGGCGGUUUCUUAAGUCUGAUGUGAAAGCCCACGGCUCAACCGUGGAGGGUCAUUGGAAACUGGGAAACUUGAGUGCAGAAUAGGAAAGUGGAAUUCCAUGUGUAGCGGUGAAAUGCGCAGAGAUAUGGAGGAACACCAAUGGCGAAGGCGACUUUCUGGUCUGUAACUGACGCUGAUGUGCGAAAGCGUGGGGAUCAAACAGGAUUAGAUACCCUGGUAGUCCACGCCGUAAACGAUGAGUGCUAAGUGUUAUGGGGUUUCCGCCCCUUAGUGCUGCAGCUAACGCAUUAAGCACUCCGCC
rnacentral:rRNA from 1 species